ACUUGCCAGAUGUGUGCAGAUCCCUGGAGCUGGAGAAGGGAAGGGAUACAUGGAAACCAGGGGAGAGAUGGUUCUUCCAAGGAGCAUUGGCAUGCUCUUUCCAAAAAGAGGGUAUUUUGCAUUUCACCUCUGACAAGUGGUCCUUUGCUACACCCAUCACCUGGCUCUAAUCCUGCUUUCUUUUUACUUGUAUACUCCAUGCUUACCUUCUUAGAAGAGAGAUCUGGGUACUGGAAUGUUCUGGAGUCCAGAAAAGGACACCGUGCCACCCUUUAACAACAGCGCCAUGAUGCAGAAGGUCCACAAGCUGGCUCGAACUUAAAGGCAACUUCACUGUCUCCCCUAGUGCCUGGCACACAGCAGGUCAUUGUAAAUUUUUGUACACUGAAAUGAACAUCUAGCCACACACUGCAUGACUGGGGUUAGUGAGCUCGGCAGUCCAUAUUUCAGUCUCCAACUGCGUGAUUGUUGACUUCCUGCUGUGUGUCAGGCACCCUGGCAUGUGCGCCACUGUCUGAAUUCAGACCGGAUUCAAAUAUCACCUU
rnacentral:lncRNA from 10 species